AUGUGUUUGAAUAUACAACAAAAGAAGGAGACGAUUAUGAUUUAAUUGCAAAUACUUAUUAUGCAAGUUUGACAACUGUUGAGUUAUUGAAAAAGUUCAACAGCUAUGAUCCAAAUCAUAUACCUGUUAAGGCUAAGAUUAAUGUCACUGUAAUUUGUUCGUGUGGGAAUAGCCAGAUUUCAAAAGAUUUUGGCUUGUUUGUUACCUAUCCACUCAGGUCUGAUGAUACUCUUGCGAAAAUUGCGACCAAAGCUGAUCUUGAUGAAGGGUUGUUACAAAAUUUCAAUCAAGAUGCCAAUUUCAGCAAAGGAAGUGGGAUAGUGUUCAUUCCAGGAAGAGGUAUGUAUUUUCUCAUUUUCUGCCAACUGUGGUUGGCACAGAUGGUUUGAACUUCUGUCACAUCCGUUGUAACUUUGAUAAGUCUGAAAUUCCGCAGUUUGUAGAUUAUUGGUAAAUUCCAUUAUAAAUGUUUAAUGCGAUUUGGUGAUUCUUAUCAAAAGUACUUGUAUAAGUAUGCGAGUUAGAUAAAAAAAAAUUAUGACCAUCUUGUUCUCGUGGAAAUGGACUCUGAUAAUUCAUAAAGUCUAGCCAAUGAUUGUAACAACCAGGUUUUGAACUUAGUACUUCCAAUCAACUUGACCUUCACCGGACCUCAUUGACCACUCGAGUCGAACCAUUUAAUUUCAGUUAGAGUAUAUUUAAAUGCUAAGUUACUCUAUUAUUUUUCAAAGUAUAUACAUGGAAUAAAUUGAACUAUGAUUGGGUUUAAAUUCAGGUUACAUUUUUUAUUUUACUGAUAUGAAAAAAACUACAGUAUCUUUUUAUAGAAAAAAACUACACUAUAUUUGUUAAUGUAUAUACAGUGUAAACAUGUAAAAUUUAAAUAGAAGGCAAAAUUGAAAAUUUUCAAAAAUAUAUUAAUUGCUUGACCAUAUUAUCCAAUUUAUGCUAUAGGUAGAAUGAAGUUGAUGAACAUGUUUUAUUAGUGAACCUGACAUUCUAGUUUAUCAUGGAUGAGUAAUCAAUAAAUGAUAAUAUUACAUCUAACUUUUUAAUUGUUUGUUCCUCUAUGUUAUUGAAAAAUGCAUUAAGUGAUGUUUUUUUGUUUAUUGAUUGAUAUGUUUGCAUUUUAUGUAUGACUAUUUGUUCUUUUGUUUUAUUUUUUAUUCCUUUAAUUUUGCAGAUGAAAAUGGAGUUUAUGUUCCCUUGCCCUCUAGGUAAGUUUCAUUGUGUUAGCCUUACCUUUCAUACUUAUUACUCACAGCAAUGAAAAUUCAUUUUUUUCCAUUUCGUUUCCCUUCUUGCAGAAAAGCAGGUUUCACCUUCAAACUUACCAGAGAAUUGGCUAUAUUGAUGAAUAUUUAUUUUUGCAUGUUCACAGUCAUAUGAAAAUUCAAAGAAAGCUAAGUGCCUCUCUGAACUUUAAUUUCUAUAUAUAUAAAAUCAGGUCACUUAGCUAGAAGUUUAGUUGCUGCUGGAAUAUGUAUUCGAGGAGUAUGCAUGGUUCUGCUAUUAGCAAUUUGUAUAUAUGUUAGAUACUUUCGCAAGAAGAAUGGAGAAGAGUCUAAAUUGCCACCAGAAGAUUCUAUGUCACCUUCAACUAAAGAUGGUAUAUGUACAACUUUCGUACUCAAAUUCCUUGCAUGACCCUUACCUCUUAAAUAUAGUGAAUGAACUGUUCCAUUAUUCAUGAGUUCAACUUAUUUUUUACCUCCCAUAGGUGAUAAAGAUAGCUAUAGUGAUACUAGAUCCAAAUAUAUAUUGGUGGACAAAUCACCAAAGUUCUCAUACAAAGUACUAGCCAAUGCUACAGAGAACUUCAGUUUGGCUAAAAAAAUUGGUCAAGGUGGUUUUGGUGAGGUCUACUAUGGAGUGCUGGGAGGCAAGGUUUGUUAUCAUAACUUUGUUAGUUUUACUUUGCAAUUAGUGGUAUGAGUCGGGCGUGCCUCAAGGGACGGAGUUCAUAUUCCCUCAAAGGCGGUUCUAAAAUGACUAUUGAUUCCACUGUAAUUUCUCUCAUUUUCAAUGGUAUAUAUAAAAUCAUACCAUAUACAGGAAAGGUGCUAUGCACCAGAUUUCAUCGAAUUUGUUAUAAACUUAUUCUAACAAGCAUAGUAUAGUGAAGAGCUUUUUCUUGUUUGUAACAAUCCAUUCCACGUGCCUAUUUCAACUUAUAUGUUAUUUCAUUAAGUAAGCGAUCUUUAAUUACACAGAAAGUUGCAAUCAAGAAGAUGAAGACGCAAGCAACAAGAGAAUUUCUUUCUGAACUGAAAGUCUUAACAAGUGUUCGUCACUUAAACCUGGUAAAUUUUCAAACAUAUAACAUUUUUCUUUUAGCUUUUUCUUUAUAAAAAUGAUUGUUUCUUUAUUAACUUUCUUCAGUAACUUUGUUGUUUAUACUAUAUUCUCUAAUGUAAUAGUAAUUUUGUAACCUAUAUCUAUCUGUUGUUAUGUCCAUAUAGGUACACUUGAUUGGAUAUUGUGUUGAGGGAUUUCUAUUUCUUGUGUAUGAAUACAUGGAAAAUGGAAACUUAAGCCAACAUCUACAUAAUUCAGGUGAUAUUAUUAACACAUUAAAAGUAUCAAUUUUCAAUGAUGUUUCAUUAAUUUGAGUACUUUUUGCAGAGAAAGAACUGAUGACCUUGUCUAGAAGGAUGAAAAUUGCUCUGGAUGUAGCAAGAGGCCUUGAGUAUAUUCAUGAUCAUUCGGUGCCUGUAUAUAUCCAUCGUGACAUAAAAUCAGAUAAUAUUUUAUUAAAUAAAAACUUCAAUGGGAAGGUAUAAUACUAUGCCUCUUUUGUUAAAGCUUCUUAAUAUUUAUUAUUUUCCUUAUUGAGAUAAUUGUAGUAGAUCAUAUAUUAUUCUUGUUAUCACAGAUUGCAGAUUUUGGAUUAACCAAGCUGACUAAUAUCGCAAAUUCAACAGAUAACACUAAUCACAUGGCAGGCACAUUUGGUUACAUGCCGCCCGAGUAUGAUGAAUUCUGCCCUUUCUUUUUAUGUGGUUGAUUGCUAUCAUAUCUAAUUUGCAGUUUUGAAAUCAAAGAUCCGUUCCUUAGUUUCUUUCGAAGGAUAUAGCAUCUUUCCCCGUUUGCGUUUAAAGAAUAUUACCAUGAUAAAUCCACCUUAUUCUUACUACUAAUCAAUUAUUUGUAACUAACGACACUACAAGAUAAUUGAGAUCUAAAGAAAAAAGUUACUAAUUAAAUUUAGUAACAUUUGAGCAAUUGUUAGGUAUAGUCCGUGUUACUAAAAAGUUUCAGUAACAUUUUAUAGUAUUAUCAGUAACAUUUAAAAACUAUUUCAUAUUUAUAUUUUCGUAACACUUUUUGUAUUACUAGUAACAUCAAAGGGAAAAGUAAAAAGUAGUUCACUUCCUUAGUUUAAUUCUACCAUUAACUUUUGUGCAGAAAUGCAUACGGGCGUAUUUCUCGCAAGAUGGAUGUGUAUGCUUUUGGAGUUGUUCUUUAUGAGCUAAUUUCUGCUAAAGCAGCCGUGAUCAUGAUCGAUAAAAACGAGUUCGAGAGCCAUGAGAUUAAGACCAAUGAAUCUACUGAUGAGUACAAGAGCCUUGUAGCUUUGGUAAUUGAUAGUUAAUAUCCCACCAUUUUUUAUCCUACAUUGAUAACCUUAUUUAUAUAGUUAUACAUAACCAUUGAGUACCUAAAUAUAUGUUCAUAUAUAAUGCGUGUUUUUUCUUAAAAACUGUUACGUAUGGCAGUUUGAUGAAGUUAUGGAUCAAAAGGGAGAUCCUAUAGAAGGUCUAAGAAAGCUGGUGGAUCCAAGGCUAGGAGAUAACUAUUCAAUUGAUUCCAUUAGCAAGGUAUUUAUUUAUAAAUCAUAGCCAUUUUUAUUGUUUCUGAUUUCUGUAUCUGACUGGCUUGACCUUUUUUCCACUGGCAGAUGGCAAAGCUUGCCAAGGCUUGCAUAAACCGAGAUCCGAAACAACGUCCAAAAAUGAGAGAUGUUGUGGUUUCUCUUAUGAAACUAAUUUCUACUAUUGAUGAUGAAAGUAGGACAGAUAGCGCAGAGUUGAGUCUUGAUGUGGAGCAUGAUUCAAAUUGAAAUGAAGAAGUUCCAAUGUGAAACUUAAUACUAUUCUACUAUGCACUUGUUGUUGUAUAGCUUAAUAUAAGAGAAGAACAGAAAGAAAAAAAACACAAAGCCAAGUACAUGAGAUUGGAUAAAAAGAAUCUAUGUAUCUUUUUUACACGCUUUAGUUUCUUUUUUAUCUAAAAUGAAUCUUAAAAACACACAUUUUUCAACGUUUUUUCUAUUAUUUUUGUUGAUGUACAACAUGUUCCUUUUUAUUGAUUAAAUCCAAAUCUGUUUCACUAAAUUAUGAGCCACGUAUAGAUAUAUUGGAUAAGACCGAUAUGAAUUUCAACAAACACAAUAUAUUGAGAAGUGUGUGUUGGUAGAAAAGGUAAUUUAAUAUCAUGAAAACUACAUUUCGAAUAUAUAUAUUCUUGCGCAACUCAAGGUAACACAAGGGUCAAGAUUGUAGGUUGUACAUAUUUAAGUAUUAUUACAUCCCCAAACAAAAAUUAUUCGGGUAAAAAAAUAAAUAAAUGCAGGUACUUUAAUUAUUUUAAAUAUACACAUGAUUUAUAUGUUCCUGAAAAUAAUGUGUCUAAAAUUAACAAAGAUAUUUUAUGGUUAAUUUAUUGAGCUUAGUUAAAGUCAUUUUCUAAAACGAGACAUUGUAGUUGUUAGAUAAAUAAUUUCCUUUAAUUUUCAUCAAAGUUUGUAAAUAAUUAUAGGGCAGGACACAUAUGUCCAUCAAUUGAUAUAUAUAUAUCUUUUGUAAUAACGAUCUUAUAGAAGAAUCAAUAUCUACAAAGAAAGUUAUCACUUGUCUCAAAUUAUGCUUUAUGCAACUGGUAUUGUCAUGUAGAUUCCAUUUUGGUUUAUAUGAUAUUGAAGUCAACGAAUCACAGCUGCUUAGGCGUGGUUCAUAAUUUAAAAUUGAAACUAUGGUGUUUGUUGGAAUUAUGAGAGGACAGACUGUGAAGUGGUUGCACAGCUACCGACAGGGUUGCCAUUACUGAUGCAAAGGAUUAAACAAUAGAACAUUUUCAAUCAACUUAAUCUAUGUUUGACAUCACGCUCGAUGUGUCAGAAUCACGACGACCCACUGUAAUUUUUAAAAAAAUUACAUUUUAUAAUUUUUGUAGAAUCACGGUGUAUCACAGUGAUUUUGACAUACCCACUGUAAUACCAAACAUGCACUUGCAUUCUUUCUUCCGUUUGAUGCCAAAAAUGGUAUUGUUUAUAAUACACUUAAAAUAAUUCAUAUCCAAGUUGUUGUAUAAAAAAAUAAACAAUGUGAUUUCCCAAAAAAAAAAAAUAAUAAGUGAUUGGCAUGCAACAUCAGAUUUUGUUGUCCAAGUGGUCACAUUUGAAAUAUUUGAGUUUACAUUUUUCUCACUAAUAUCUUUAUAUUGAACUUCAAUCUGUCUAGCUAUAAUCAAAUGGUUGACUAAAAUGGUUAAUAAGCUUCAAUUAAAUUCAAAUUAUUUGAAAGAACUUGAAUUUAAAUCUUAACUUGAACAUAACCCCGAAGUGGAUGAUUUACCCAAAAAAAUUACCUAACUACUCUAAUAAUCAUUUUAACAAUAAGAGUAUUUUACUCAAAGAAAUUUAUAUAAUCACAAAAUCCUAGUAUACUCAAUGAUUUUCUUAAAAAACUAUUAUAACCAGAAAUGACAAUAUGAGACAAAUAUAAUUAUUUUAAUAAAAAUAUCUAAAUUAGAAUUAUUUGAAAAUGUAAAACUAUAUUAUUUUUUGUAGUUUUCCAAACUUUAUUAAGCAUCGUUUAAUUGCACACAAAAUUUACUCCAAUUUUUUUUAGUCUCUGAAAGUUGCUUUUUGGUCCAUGUUUUAGUUUUGGUAAUUAUAAUUAAGUUUGUUCAUAUUAAUUAGUUCUAAUGUGUGUACUAUAUAGAUCAUACUAAUUUUGUUCCCAAACUCAUCUUAGUUAGGAUCUUUGUAUCUACUAUAAGAUUAAUCCUUGUGCCGAUAUAAGAAUAUUUGUCAUGUUAUCAACUAUCACAAUAUUGUAUUGGUGAGAUCAUAUAAGAUUUGAUGUCAACAUCUUCGUAAAGGUCUCAGAUUCGAUUCUCCCCGGUAUCAAUUUAAGUGAGCUAAUUUAGCUUCUUAAAAAAUAAAAUCAAACAACUUUUACAUAAACUCAGUGAAAACUUGGAUAUAAAGUAUCCUUAUACUACUCUUUAGUCUUGAUUAGUCUCUGCAAAGAUAUUUAUAUGUACUUUGUAUUAUCAUAAGAACAUUCAUUGACAUUUUAAGUUAAUGAAUUACUAACAUGUCAACUCUUAUUCUAGCCAACAGUUACUUUGUUCCCUCCACAUUCUCUUUGAAAUAGUCAAACGUAUCCAAUCAUGCAUGUCUGUUCUGAUCAUAACAGCAAAAGCAUGUGUAUAGAAAAUUGAUAGUUGAAUUAGAGUCAUUUUCCAUAAAAAAAUAUUCAAUAAGUGUGACAUUAUUUUUCGUAUGAAUUAAUCCAUUUUUUGCUGAUUUGAGAUUCUUUCUUUCUUUGCUUCUUGCUUUCCUUCAUCAGCCAUUUUUUUUGUUUUCUCUUUCUCUCUCUCUUCUUGAUUCAAUGAAUCUCAAAAAUGGAUUACUAUUGUUCAUUCUGUUUCUGGAUUGUGUUUUUUUCAAAGUUGAAUCCAAAUGUGUAAAAGGGUGUGAUGUAGCUUUAGCUUCCUACUAUAUUAUACCAUCAAUUCAACUCAGAAAUAUAUCAAACUUUAUGCAAUCAAAGAUUGUUCUUACCAAUUCCUUUGAUGUUAUAAUGAGCUACAAUAGAGACGUAGUAUUCGAUAAAUCUGGUCUUAUUUCCUAUACUAGAAUCAACGUUCCGUUCCCAUGUGAAUGUAUUGGAGGUGAAUUUCUAGGACAUGUGUUUGAAUAUACAACAAAAGAAGGAGACGAUUAUGAUUUAAUUGCAAAUACUUAUUACGCAAGUUUGACAACUGUUGAGUUAUUGAAAAAGUUCAACAGCUAUGAUCCAAAUCAUAUACCUGUUAAGGCUAAGAUUAAUGUCACUGUAAUUUGUUCAUGUGGGAAUAGCCAGAUUUCAAAAGAUUAUGGCUUGUUUGUUACCUAUCCACUCAGGUCUGAUGAUACUCUUGCGAAAAUUGCGACCAAAGCUGGUCUUGAUGAAGG
rnacentral:lncRNA from 1 species